UCCUCCUGCAAAGGCGUGUUUUGGGCUCCUUGUUCUUGACACGUAAGAAUCGGAGGCAGAAAAAUGUGGAUUUGCAAAGUCUGAGACCGGCUUGAUCCAUUCAAGCUCUGGAUCAUCCAUCCCACAGAG